UUCUGUCUCCCCCAGCAGACUGUGAGCUCCUUGAGGGCAGGGACUUGGUUGUCUGCUGUG
rnacentral:miRNA from 10 species